AAAGUUCUGUUGUUAGUGAAGAACAAGUACCGUUCAAAUAGGUCGGUACCUUGACGGUAACUAACGAGAAAGCCACGGCUAACUACGUGCCAGCAGCCGCGGUAAUACGUAGGUGGCAAGCGUUGUCCGGAAUUAUUGGGCGUAAAGGGCGCGCAGGCGGCCGAUUAAGUCUGAUGUGAAAUCCCACGGCUUAACCGUGGAAGGUCAUUGGAAACUGAUUGGCUUGAGUGCAGAAGAGGAGAGUGGAAUUCCACGUGUAGCGGUGAAAUGCGUAGAUAUGUGGAGGAACACCAGUGGCGAAGGCGGCUCUCUGGUCUGCAACUGACGCUGAGGCGCGAAAGCGUGGAUAGCAAACAGGAUUAGAUACCCUGGUAGUCCACGCUGUAAACGAUGAGUGCUAAGUGUCAGGGGGUUUCCGCCCCUUGGUGCUGGAGUUAACGCAUUAAGCACUCCGCCUGGGGAUUACGGCCGCAAGGCUGAAACUCAAAGGAAUUGACGGGGGCCCGCACAAGCGGUGGAGCAUGUGGUUUAAUUCGAAGCUACGCGAAGAACCUUACCAGGUCUUGACAUCCUCUGCUACUUUUAGAGAUAAAAGGUUCCCCUUCGGGGGACAGAGUGAC
rnacentral:rRNA from 1 species